rnacentral:rRNA from 1 species
CUCAGGGAGGUAGUGACAAGAAAUAACAACACUGGAAAUUUUAUUUCUAGUGAUUGGAAUGAUGGGAAUUUAAACCCCUUUCAGAGUAACAAUUGGAGGGCAAGUCUGGUGCCAGCAGCCGCGGUAAUUCCAGCUCCAAUAGCGUAUAUUAAAGUUGUUGCAGUUAAAAAGCUCGUAGUUGGAUGUCUGCUGGAAGCAAUCAGUCCGCCCUAUUUGUAGGGUGUGCACUUGAUGAAUUCUGGCAUUUCUGUCCCAAUGAUGUAACGGGGCGGUGGUACUCGGUGAAAGCCGAGUAUCCUGUUUUCCGAUUAUUGGGAUACUGUUACUUUGAGAAAAUUAGAGUGUUUGAAGCAGACUAAUUGCCUUGAAUACUGCAGCACGGAAUAACAAUAUAGGAUUUCGGUUCUAUUUUGUUGGUUUCUAGGACUGAAAUAAUGAUUAAUAGGGACAGUUGGGGGCAUUCGUAUUUAACUGUCAGAGGUGAAAUUCUUAGAUUUGUUAAAGACGAACUACUGCGAAAGCAUUUGCCAAAGAUGUUUUCAUUAAUCAAGAACGAAAGUUAGGGGCUCGAAGACGAUCAGAUACCGUCGUAGUCUUAACCAUAAACUAUGCCGACUAGAGAUAGGAAAAUGUCAUUUUGCUGACUU